rnacentral:lncRNA from 1 species
UGUCAAUCUCCAAGUGGAGUGUCAUGUGCCUUUCACUGAGGAGUGGCUUCCGUCUGGCCACUCUACCAUAAAGGCCUGAUUGGUGGAGUGCUGCAGAGAUGGUUGUCCUUCUGGAAGAUUCUCCCAUCUACUACAGAGGAACUCUAGAGCUCUGUCAGAGCGACCGUCGGGUUCUUGGUCACCUCCCUGACGAAUGUCUAAAAAGCUGUUUUCGCUUCGUCAUUAUGGAGCAUUGUGUGUACAUUGCUGAGAUGUUUUUAUUUAAUUUAUCCAUUUUAGAAUAAGGCUGUAACUUAACAAAAUGUGGAAAAAGCCAAGAGGUCUGAAUACUUUCCGAAGGCACUGUAUGUACCAGAAAGAGCACCCCCAUAUUCAUGCUGGACGGGAAGACGAGGUACAUUUGGAGAGGGGUCAUUUUUUGGCAGAGGAAAGACGGAAGAAAAAGUGUGCCUCAGGUAGAGCAUGGCGCUUGCAACGCCAGGGUUGAGGGUUCGAUUCUCACGGAGGGCCGGUACAAAAGCAUCAAGUGUCUCCGGGUUCGAAGCUGGCUAUUCACGAAACAUCCGACACAUCUCUUUUGAUCUCUUAUUUCCGCGAUAACCCAGUUUCCUGUCUGUCAGCCGGAGACGGAGAUGAGGACGAGAGCGCUUUGAUUGCGCUGGGGCUGCUGCGCGUUUGCGGGUGCAACAGGGAGGAGACAAGUGAAAAUACAGUAGAAGAGUACAAGAGAGAGACAGGAUCCAGGUUAAAGGUCAUCCAACUUGUUUACCCUGAGUGAGGGAUUCUGUUAUGAUGAACCCAGAAGCAGACCAGGACAAGGUGAGUUGAACCAAGGUGAGUAUUUAUUUACAGACUCAAAUGUGAAAGCAGAAUAAUCCAGGAGACGGAGCGGGCAGCGGAGGUGAGUUGGUGAGAGUGAAUAGGCAGAUCCAAUGAUGUCACAGAAGCCCCGACGACCAGGCAGGGGUGGGGUGAAUGUUCCGGGAGAAUGACUGUAGACAGAGUAAGCGGAGGUGAGUACACUGCAAGCAAAACAAAUACAGAACAACAAAACUAACUCUAGUAAACUUGAGGCUGAUACGCUGACACAACAUACUGUUCAUAGCUAACGAUCCAGCAGGGAAUGGAUGUCAGGUCAGGGCUUAUGAAGAGAAGAGGUGAUGAUCAGGACCAGGUGUGCAGAUAGCUGAUGAGAUGCAGGUGCGGGUAAUUGAUAGAUCUCCCGCCUAGCUUCGUCGCCCGGCAACCAGACAGGGUGCGUUCAGGAACCUCAGGAAACAGACUCCGAGACAGAAAAUAGGCAACUCAGGCAGAAAACAGACUCAGGAAGCGGGAUUCAUGACAUCCAAAACUUGUAAUGAAAUCCAAAACUUUCCAGGUUUCCAACACCCAGCAAUAAUUAUGUUUGUUGCAGAUACUAAAUUAAAAGGACAUUACAAUUGUUUGUG